UUCAGUGCACUAGUUUAGAACCUGUGCUGUGUUUAAAACGACAACAGGACUGGAUCUUGUGGGCCACCAGAGAGUUUGAUCCCAAAACAACAUUGCUAUUGAUUGACCUGACUCGACAGACCUGGGAACUAUAAGAAGAACAAAACCCAGUUCUACCAGACUGUCAGUACGAAAUUCUUGGCACAUGGGUACACAUUCUCUGCGAACAGGAUCCGAAGGAAAUGGAACAACAUGCUUGUGACGUACAAGCGGACCAAGGACAAACACAGAGAGACGGGUGAAGGAAGAAUUACGUGGGAGUACUUCGAGGCCCUUGAUGAUCUCCUGUCUGAAACAGUGGGUGCACCACCUGCAUCAGGAUCCAUUGUCUCCACACCACUGCUUCCCACAGACACAGACCCACCUCAAGCACCACCUCACAUAACACCUUCUCCAGCACCAUGUACACCCUGUCCUUCACACACCCAGACGUCUGACAGGCAGGACACCCACACAGACCCUUCACCCAUCACACCAGUCACAUCGCACCUCAAAGCAGGGGGGAAAAGGAAAAAGAAAUCAGAUCCUACACAGUCAUUUCUGCACAGUUAUGAGCAACGUGCACUGAGGCGCACUAAAGUACUUGAGAGGCUUGUCACCAAACGGACAAAUGCUGGAGAACAAAGGCUAAGGAAUCAGUAGAGAAGAGAGAGAAGAGGAAAUGUUGGCCUGUUUAAAGGACAUCUCUUGUACACUUCAUGAGAUGUCCUGGAAACAGGACCACAUUAUCUCACUGUUGGAAAACAGACCUUAAUAUGUUGUAUAUAAAUCAAUAUUUAAUUUGGAAUUCAUUUCUGUAUGUUUGUAUUGUUUAAACACCUCCAUUAUUCUGAGUAUAGGGUAUGUCUGUAUUUACGUAAUUACCCAUGACAACCAAAAUGCACGAUAAAUGUUAGAAGGCUGGGCAAUGGAAUAUAAACCUUUACAGAAUCUUCCAAACAGGUUCUGACCGACAAGGUGUUUUCUUGAUUUAUUGUUUUCCUUUUUAAACAAAAUCCACCCAAUAAAAUGGAAAACCAAGGUAAACACACAUGUACACAUAUAGAGGCUAGUGUCAAAACUGUAUGGGGAUCUCUAUGAAAUCAGGAUGAUGAACAUAGGAAAAUACACAAAGGAAAGAAGAUAUUGUACUGAACAAAUUAUAAUGAUUCACAAAUACAGUUUCUUUUGACAAUGCCACGGUUGUCAUUUUGUCGAAUGUCUGGUUGUUCACAGACAUGUACUGUACAGUAUAUCAGGAUCUAAGGCAUCCUCUACACACAUUCCCUGGUGUCUCUAAGCACAUAUUGUAGAGGAUGCAGCAUGCUGUGACAGUUGUGCUGAGGUUCUGUAAUGAAUGCAUGUGUAGUCCUUUAUGUCUCCUAAGCCUAGACUUUAACAAUCCAAAUGCUCUUUCGAUUACUAUUCUGGCUGUUGAGAGCUUCUGGUUGUAUCUCUUUUGCUGAGCUGUUAAGUGGCCAUUGUCACAGAAUGGGGUCAUCAGGUGUUGGGACAGAGGGUAUGCAGCAUCUCCAAUAAUGUGUAGCUCGCCAGGAAGAAGGGACAGU